AUUGAACGCUGGCGGCAGGCCUUACACAUGCAAGUCGCGCGGAGCGCCGGACGGGUGCGUAAUGCCUAGGAAUCUGCCUGGUCGUGGGGGAUAACGUCCGGAACCGGGCGCUAAUACCGCUUACUCUCAGUUGAGCCUAGGUCGGAUUCGCUAGUUGGAGGGGUAAAGGCCUACCAAGGCCACGAUCCGUAGCUGGUCUGAGAGGAUGAUCAGUCACACUGGAACUGAGACACGGUCCAGACUCCUACGGGAGGCAGCAGUGGGGAAUAUUGGACAAUGGGCGAAAGCCUGAUCCAGCCAUGCCGCGUGUGUGAAGAAGGUCUUCGGAUUGUAAAGCACUUUAAGUUGGGAGGCGUUACCAACAGAAUAAGCACCGGCUAACUACGUGCCAGCAGCCGCGGUAAUAC
rnacentral:rRNA from 1 species